rnacentral:rRNA from 1 species
GAUACGUAGGGUGCGAGCGUUGUCCGGAUUUAUUGGGCGUAAAGAACUCGUAAAUGGUUGAUCGCGUCGGAAGUGUAAUCUUGGGGCUUAACCCUGAGCGUGCUUUCGAUACGGGUUGACUUGAGGAAGGUAGGGGAGAAUGGAAUUCCUGGUGGAGCGGUGGAAUGCGCAGAUAUCAGGAGGAACACCAGUGGCGAAGGCGGUUCUCUGGGCCUUUCCUGACGCUGAGGAGCGAAAGCGUGGGGAGCGAACAGGCUUAGAUACCCUGGUAGUCCACGCUGUAAACGGUGGGUACUAGGUGUGGGGUCCAUUCCACGGGUUCCGUGCCGUAGCUAACGCUUUAAGUACCCCGCCUGGGGAGUACGGCCGCAAGGCUAAAACUCAAAGGAAUUGACGGGGCCCCGCACAAGCGGCGGAGCAUGCGGAUUAAUUCGAUGCAACGCGUAGAACCUUACCUGGGUUUGACAUGGAUCGGGAGCGCUCAGAGAUGGGUGUGCCUCUUUUGGGGUCGGUUCACAGGUGGUGCAUGGCUGUCGUCAGCUCGUGUCGUGAGAUGUUGGGUUAAGUCCCGCAACGAGCGCAACCCUUGUUCACUGUUGCCAGCACGUUAUGGUGGGGACUCAGUGGAGACCGCCGGGGUCAACUCGGAGGAAGGUGGGGAUGACGUCAAGUCAUCAUGCCCCUUUAUGUCCAGGGCUUCACGCAUGCUACAAUGUCUGGUACAGAGAGUGUCGAGCCUGUGAGGGUGAGCGAAUCUCGGAAAGCCGGUCUCAGUUCGGAUUGGGGUCUGCAACUCGACCUCAUGAAGUCGGAGUCGCUAGUAAUCGCAGAUCAGCAACGCUGCGGUGAAUACGUUCCCGGGGCUUGUACACACCGCCCGUCAAGUCAUGAAAGUUGGUAACACCCGAAGCCGGUGACCUAACCGUUGUGGGGGAGCGUCGAAGGUGGACUGCUGAU